UGCGUAUUUUGCCCAGGCGGAGCUCGACCACCGCACCAAGUCCUGAGGGCCUUUCGAUCAGCAUUGUGACCGUCUUGGGGUCGAGUCGAUCUGCCUUGUCUUGCGGAUCGCCCCG
rfam:Pseudomonas sp. BRH_c35 BRHa_1004531, whole genome shotgun sequence.